GGUCUAAUGGCCCAAUGGCAAGGCGCUUGACUUCGACCUCAUUAGGUAGAUACUAAGAGGUUGAAGAUUCAACCCCCUCUUAGAUCU